AGUGAACGCUGGCGGUAGGCCUAACACAUGCAAGUCGAACGGCAGCACAGUAAGAGCUUGCUCUUACGGGUGGCGAGUGGCGGACGGGUGAGGAAUACAUCGGAAUCUACUUUUUCGUGGGGGAUAACGUAGGGAAACUUACGCUAAUACCGCAUACGACCUACGGGUGAAAGCAGGGGAUCUUCGGACCUUGCGCGAUUGAAUGAGCCGAUGUCGGAUUAGCUAGUUGGCGGGGUAAAGGCCCACCAAGGCGACGAUCCGUAGCUGGUCUGAGAGGAUGACCAGCCACACUGGAACUGAGAAACGGUCCAGACUCAUACGGGAGGCAGCAGUGGGGAAUAUUGGACAAUGGGCGCAAGCCUGAUCCAGCCAGACCGCGUGGGUGAAGAAGGACUUCGGGUUGUAAAGCCCUUUUGUUGGGAAAGAAAAGCAGCAGGUUAAUACCCCGCUGUUAUGACGGUACCCAAAGAAUAAGCACCGGCUAACUUCGUG
rnacentral:rRNA from 1 species